rnacentral:rRNA from 1 species
GACAGGUGGUGCAUGGUUGUCGUCAGCUCGUGUCGUGAGAUGUUGGGUUAAGUCCCGCAACGAGCGCAACCCUUAUCCUUAGUAGCCAGCAGGGAAAGCUGGGCACUCUAGGGAGACUGCCAGGGAUAACCUGGAGGAAGGUGGGGAUGACGUCAAAUCAUCAUGCCCCUUAUGAUUUGGGCUACACACGUGCUACAAUGGCGUAAACAAAGGGAAGCGAAGUGGCGACAUGGAGCGAACCCCAAAAAUAACGUCUCAGUUCGGAUUGCAGGCUGCAACCCGCCUGCAUGAAGCCGGAAUCGCUAGUAAUCGCAGAUCAGAAUGCUGCGGUGAAUACGUUCCCGGGUCUUGUACACACCGCCCGUCACACCAUGGGAGUCGAUAACGCCCGAAGUCAGUGACCCAACCGAAAGGAGGGAGCUACCGAAGGCGGGAUGGAUAACUGGGGUGAAGUCGUAACAAGGUAGCCGUAUCGGAAGGUGCGGCUGGAUCACCUC